rnacentral:rRNA from 1 species
GAUGAACGCUGGCGGCGUGCCUAAUACAUGCAAGUCGAGCGAACAGACGAGGAGCUUGCUCCUCUGACGUUAGCGGCGGACGGGUGAGUAACACGUGGAUAACCUACCUAUAAGACUGGGAUAACUUCGGGAAACCGGAGCUAAUACCGGAUAAUAUAUUGAACCGAAUGGUUCAAUAGCGAAAGACGGUUUUGCUGUCACUUAUAGAUGGAUCCGCGCCGCAUUAGCUAGUUGGUAAGGUAACGGCUUACCAAGGCAACGAUGCGUAGCCGACCUGAGAGGGUGAUCGGCCACACUGGAACUGAGACACGGUCCAGACUCCUACGGGAGGCAGCAGUAGGGAAUCUUCCGCAAUGGGCGAAAGCCUGACGGAGCAACGCCGCGUGAGUGAUGAAGGUCUUCGGAUCGUAAAACUCUGUUAUUAGGGAAGAACAAAUGUGUAAGUAACUAUGCACGUCUUGACGGUACCUAAUCAGAAAGCCACGGCUAACUACGUG